CAGUCAUAUUAGGAUGAAUUUCUUCUGGUAUAUACUGUUGUAGUCUAUGAUGCUAGAUGGUUCCUCCCCUAAACAUCCCAUAAUAAGACCUGUGACCCUGGGCUGCUUUUCCCCUGCUUCCUACAGUGUGUCCCCUGGGCAGCAACCUUUCUAGUCUGGAAAGUGAUCUAUAAAGCUGCUGCUGCUGACUCUGUUGUGGGUUUCAUGCCUGGGCAGUGAGGUGGAGGCUCUGCUAAGACAGCUCUGGGAGGGACCCAGAGAAGGUGUUUGUUCCUUGAGUGUCCUCAGUUUGGGUUCUGGCCUGUGUUUGUGCAUCCCUGUGUUCCUCUGGGCUUGUGGAGUUGAGCUUUGGAGGGGCUGGUGGCUCCUGGGAUGGGCCUGGGAGCAGCUUGAGCAGGGUAUUAUUUGGGCUUCUGCUCCUGCUGCUGUGUCUGAGCUCCUUUGUGGGUGUGCAGAUUAGCUUUAUCAUACAACCUAGCAAUAAUGAAUGAAGUAUAAUAUCUUAUGAGUAAUAGGCUAUGUUUACUAGUUCUAGUUAUAAUGAAGAAUUACUGUUAUCCAGUUACAACAUGUGCAAGUCUCCAGAGAGGAAGAUGUUUCGAGUUGAAAUAAUUGUAACUUACUGUUAGAGUGUUUUCCUGAGAAUUUUUUGACGAGUUUUUGCCUUUGUUUUGUCCUUAAGAUACUCUCCAUAAGUGAUCCUUCUGUUUUCAAUGAGUGUUAUUCAGAAGACUCAAACUGUAUCAAGCUCUCAUCUGAAAUAGCUGACAAUUUGUUGUCUUUCACAGAUGAGUAUGGAAAAAAGGAAUUAAAUGUACAUUGUUCUCUUUACUCUUCCCUA